GACGAACGCUGGCGGCGUGCCUAAUACAUGCCAGUCGAACGCAGUGGGGACGGGUGAGUAACACGUGGGUAACCUCCCAUCAGAGGGGAUAACACUUGGAAACAGGUGCUAAACCGAUACUGAUGGAUGGACCCGCGGUGCAUUAGCUAGUUGGUGAGGUAACGGCUCACCAAGGCCACGAUGCAUAGCCGACAUGGUAGGGGGAUCGGGCACUCAGGGAUUUAGACACGGCCCGAACUCCUACGGGCGGCAGAAGUAGGGAUUCUUCGACAAUGGACGAAAGUCUGACCGAGCAACGCCUCGUGAGUGAAGAGGGUUUUCGGUGCGUAAAACGUGGUUGUUAGAGAAGCGGUAUCUAACCAUAAAGCCACGGCUAACUACGUGCCAGCAGCCGCGGUAAUAC
rnacentral:rRNA from 1 species